rnacentral:rRNA from 1 species
GACGAACGCUGGCGGCGUGCUUAACACAUGCAAGUCGAACGGAAAGGCCCUGCUUUUGUGGGGUGCUCGAGUGGCGAACGGGUGAGUAACACGUGAGUAACCUGCCCUUGACUUUGGGAUAACUUCAGGAAACUGGGGCUAAUACCGGAUAGGAGCUCCUGCUGCAUGGUGGGGGUUGGAAAGUUUCGGCGGUUGGGGAUGGACUCGCGGCUUAUCAGCUUGUUGGUGGGGUAGUGGCAUACCAAGGCUUUGACGGGUAGCCGGCCUGGGAGGGUUAACGGCCACAUUGGGACUGAGAUACGGACCAGAAUCCUACGGGAGGCAGCAGUGGGGAAUAUUGCACAAUGGGCGGACGCCUGAUGCAGAAACGCCGCGUGCGGGAUGACGGCCUUCGGGUUGUAAACCGCUUUCGCCUGUGACGAAGCGUGAGUGACGGUAAUGGGUAAAGAAGCACCGGCUAACUACGUG